GAGUUAAACUUCGUUCUUUAGAUAAGCCACAAAAGAACCGAGUACGAGAACCGUGUCUUCUGGUAGCCAGUAAUUUUCAGUUUGUUGCGUAUAGGUGACCCGUGCCAGUCGACUGACCCGGGUGCUAACCCAGGACACCCGCAACCAAUCCCCGUGAAGCGAGGCCCGGGACGACCCCGCCUGCGUCCUUUCGGACCCGGGCACCAAGGGACUCGCGGUUCGCCCCGGCCGAGGAAGGCCCCCAAGCCACUGCCCGUCCCUCUACGGUCAGGAUCGGGUACAGUGCCCACAGCUGCUGGGGCAGAACACCCUCGGCCAUUCGGCUUCUACACUCAGGGAACCAGUCCCACCGAGUAGAAGGUGUUUGGCGUCUGUUAUAGAAACAGCGCGAGUAGGAGACACGCUGCCUGCAUUUUGGGCGUUGCACAGGAAUUGGGUUGUGUACCGGGCAGUAUUUUGUGGCGCCUUUAUUUAGAACAUUUCUUGUGGUCAAUGUGACGCGAAUUAUGAUAGAGUAUGAUUAUACUAGCGAUUUUUCAGCCUCUGCAAAAAAAUUUAAUAGAGAAUCUCAAGCUAUCUAUCACUUGAAUGAAAAAAUAAAUGAUUAAUAUCAGUCGUACGUAGGUUUGUAUAUAUAGAAUUUUGUUUACCGAUGUCAGGUCUGUGUGAAGUCUGAACAUUUGCAAAUAAUUAUUGGUCACGCGUCAUUAAAUUUAAAUGUUAAAUAAAACAAUUGAGGUCUCUACGUGAUGUAUUUUCAUUGUGUUACGAUAUUUUAAGUGACGUCUUUUAGAUUCUAAGAGCAAAAUUCGUGGGUUAGAAAUAAAAGUAGAAAUAUAUCUGUAAAAUAAUUUAAUUUGGGAACAUGUUACAGGGUGUGGAAAAUGUUGGAAUAAAGGAUUCACCACGUUAAUCAUA